UAGGGAAUCUUGCGCAAUGGGCGAAAGCCUGACGCAGCGACGCCGCGUGAGCGAUGAAGGCCCUCGGGUUGUAAAGCUCUGUGGAGAGAGAAGAAUAAGUGCAGGCUAAUACCCUGCGCGACGACGGUAUCUCUUUAGCAAGCACCGGCUAACUCUGUGCCAGCAGCCGCGGUAAGACAGAGGGUGCAAACGUUGUUCGGAAUCACUGGGCGUAAAGCGCGUGUAGGUGGCUUGGCAAGUCGGGCGUGAAAUCCCGGGGCUCAACCCCGGAGGUGCACUCGAUACUGCCUCGCUAGAGUCCUGGAGAGGAAGGUGGAAUACUUGGUGUAGAGGUGAAAUUCGUAGAUAUCAAGUAGAACACCGGUGGCGAAGGCGGCCUUCUGGACAGUGACUGACGCUGAGACGCGAAAGCGUGGGGAGCAAA
rnacentral:rRNA from 1 species